CAGGUUAACUUAAUUAGAUAAGGAUUAUAUUUACAUUAUAGUUUUGACCGUGCAAUUCGGUAUAACUUGA
rnacentral:tRNA from 1 species